CGGUAAAACGCGCUGGAGGACCGAACCCACGUAAGUUGAAAAUUGCGGGGAUGAGUUGUGGGUAGCGGUGAAAUUCCAAACGAACUUGGAGAUAGCUGGUUCUCUCCGAAAUAGCUUUAGGGCUAGCCUCGCAAAGAGGAUGCUGGAGGUAGAGCUCUGUUUGGACUAGGGGCCCGUCAAGGGUUACUGAAUUCAGAUAAACUGCGAAUUCCAGACAUUUAUGUGCGGGAGUCAGACUGCGAGUGAUAAGAUCCGUAGUCGAAAGGGAAACAGCCCAGAUCACCAGUUAAGGUCCCAAAAUUCAUGCUAAGUGGAAAAGGAUGUGGAGUUGCGCAGACAACUAGGACGUUGGCUCAGAAGCAGCCAUCAUUCAAAGAGUGCGUAAUAGCUCACUAGUCGAGUGACGCCGCGCCGAAAAUUUACCGGGGCUAAGCAUGAUACCGAAACUGUGGAUGUGCAUUUAUGCACGUGGUAGGAGAGCGUUCUAGCGGCGGUGAAGCAUGACCGAGAGGACAUGUGGAGCUUCUAGAAGUGAGAAUGCCGGUAUGAGUAACGAAAGACAGGUGAGAAUCCUGUCCGCCGCAAGACUAAGGUUUCCUGGGGCAGGCUCGUCCGCCCAGGGUAAGUCGGGACCUAAGGCGAGGCCGAGAGGCGUAGUCGAUGGACAACAGGUUGAAAUUCCUGUACUGCACCGA
rnacentral:rRNA from 1 species